UUUGGUUCAGUCAAAAAAAAAAAAUAAAAAAAAAAAUUGGACUACUCACGUGGCGAAACGUGUCCAGCAAACUACAAUAGAAGGUUGUUGACUUUUGUUGACCGAUUUGGGUAUGAAGAAUGAUAAGCCACCUUAAAGUUGGGAUUAUUGAAAAAUAAUUCAAAGUUGGGAUUAAUGAAACUAAAUUGGUAAAAGUUGGGAUUAAAAAACAGUAUUAAUCCUUUUUUUUUUUUUAUUGUUUUUGAAACCUCACUGUACUACUACUCGAUAGGUUAAAGUUAUUCUACGACAAGUUGAUUAUAAUAAUAUAUAACUGAGUCUCUUGAUUAUUUGCAGAAGAAUAGCAAUUACUUAUCUCUCUCUCUCUUUUUUUUUUUUUUUUUUUUUUGAGGAGAAUGUAUUUAGUACGUAGUGUUAACUUACAAUGACAAGUUAGUUGAUCAUAUUUCUCUGUAUUCAAAGAUUUAGUUGUAAUAGAAAUAAUCUCAAUAAUUGAUUAACGGAGAAGUUUCCAAAUAUCUACGUCUAUAGGCCACCCAGGUAAGAAAAAGACAAAAGGAUAUAUAGUUUAUACUCUUUACUACAAGUUCAAGGAUGUUGAUCCAUCUCAAAUCCAACAUGCUAUUCGACUAAUUCGGGAAAGUUCACAUGUACACCAAAUGAGAUGGUGCGUCUAGUGAUAAAGACAGCGUUACGCAUGUCGAGCACGGUACUGGUUGCGCGGCUGCUUGCGGUGGUGGUUGUGGAGGCUGAAUCCAGUCUUACUGUUGUAACUAUACGAAGUACAAAGAAAAAAAAUUACAGUAUAGUAGCUUCCUUUCUUUUGUAAUUGUGAGAGGUUGCUCAUUGAUACAGUGAUUAUUCUUGUACGAUGUACUAUUUACUAUUUGGAAAAAAACUUGUUCAUGGAAUAAAAUUGGAAAAAUUUAAUGUAA